rnacentral:rRNA from 1 species
UACAGAGGGGGCUAGCGUUAUUCGGAAUUAUUGGGCGUAAAGGGCGCGUAGGCGGCCAUGCGUGUCUUCCGUGAAAGCCCCCGGCUUACCCGGGGAUCUGCAUCCCAAACUGCUUGGCUUGAGUACGGGAGAGGAUAGGGGAAUUCCUGGUGUAGCGGUGAAAUGCGUAGAUAUCAGGAGGAACACCGGUGGCGAAGGCGCCUAUCUGGCCCGAUACUGACGCUGAGGCGCGAAAGCUAGGGGAGCAAACGGG